UUCUCUUUUUCGGUCAAGGAGCUCUGUUCUACUCUUGAGGGUGGAAGGUUUGGUAUUUAUUGAGGGUUCUCAAACUUUUCCUCCGAAAUAUGUAGGUCCCAAACUUUUUCUCUUGAAUAAGUCAAUUUUUUUUUGAUUAAGUUGAUCCCAAACUUUUUUUUAAUAAGUUCAUCUAAUUUUUUUGUUAAACAAAUUGAUUCCAAACUUUUUUUUAAAAAUAACUUUAUCUUUUCUUUUUGUUGAAUAAGUUGAUCCCAUUUUUUUUUAUGAAUAGGUUCACCUCAAAACCUUUUUUUUUUUAUAAGUUCUUCCCAAGCUAUUUUUUUUUGUGUGUAGAUAUGUAGAUCCCAAACUUUUUUUUGAAUAAGUUAAUUUUUUUUUGUUAAUAAGUUGAUUCUGUUACGAAUAUCUUAUUAAGUGGAUGCCCAUCAUUAUUAAGAUAUUAAAUUCUAAUAGUUAUUAGAAUUAGAUCUCUACUUAUUUUAUACUUCUUAUGCCUAUAAAUAAUGACUCUGAUGAAGCAUUAUAAUCAUCCCUUUGAUUUAUAAAAUGCAUUCUCUAAUAUUGCUUUCAUAUUUUCUUUAUUCUUUAUUCUUCCAUCUUUUUUUAUUUUAUAGCACGUUAUCAGCACGAUGAUUCUCUAUUUUUUCAAAAUCUUUCGAAGUCGUCCUACAAAUCAAUCUUCAGGAUGUUGAAAGAUCCAAUCUUAGAAUGGAUGCUCGUGAUAAUAGUCAAGGUGAUGACGAUAAUGUUAAAGAUCUUCAGGUAUAUUUUACUAUAUUUUAUUUAUUAUAUCAUAUUUAUUAUAAUUGGAGAAUAAUCAUGACAACAUGAAUAGAUAGAUUCUGAUUUAAAAUCCACGUAUGUUUACGAUGGUGAUUAUGAAAUAAAAAAUCAAUAGAGGUGUUUAGAAGUCUGUCUUACCAGAUUUGUUUCAUUUCUCGAAGUGAAUGUAAACAUAAAGAAAAUAAAAGAUAUACUCAUGGACUACUAAAAGUGGGAACAUAGUAAUAAAUAAGAGAACAAUAAGAGUUCUCAAGAUAACUCUUCAAAUGGUAAAGAUAACUUAUGUUAUCAAUGUGAUAUGAAAUAUUAUUGGCCAUAUAUGUGACGUAUGCCUAAAUAUUUUGUUUUUGUUAAUAUUCUUUGAGGAAUGAUAUGAGAAUGUAGUAAUGAAUUCUAUCAUUAUAAAUAGAAAAUAUUUAUCUUAUUUGGUAUUAAAACAAAUAAAUAUUAUUCCAAUAUUUGAUAGUACAAAAUAAGUUAAAAGCUUUAAAAGAGCUAAUAUAUUAAUAUCUAAAAAGCAUAAAAUUUGCUAUUCACUGAAACAAAUAUUGCAUAUAAUUAUUUAGAAAUUAUAUUUAUUGACUUGGUGACAUUAUAGACUUCACAUUGAUUUAGACAUUUCCAGUAGUAAAUGUCACAAUAGUUCUUAUAUGUGGAUACAAAUUAAAAGGAAUGAUAAUAAAAUUAUAAAUUUGUUACAAUUUAGUACAGUUGAAACACAUGUUAAAGUAAACCAGAAGUUUACUAAUACAAAUGUGUUUACUACUUAGCCUGACCUGUAACAGCCCGUUUUCAGUGAAAUCGGAAUAGUAGUUUCAGGACCACAAAUCCGAGGUCAGAAGAAAAUUAUUUUAAUAUUAUUGCAUGAUCUACCGUAUGAUAGGAAUAUCGUAUAAAAAUUAUGUUAAGCAAAAUUUUACUGAUUACAUGUAUUAUUGAUAAAAGGACCAAAUUGUAUGAAAUGCAAAAGUUGAGUUCUAGUAGCUAUAGGUAGCAAAUAGCUAUGGAAUUCAAAAUUUGAGGUCCUUAUAUGACAAUUGGACCAUGAAGAGGAGUCAGUAGAUAAGUUUGAUGAUUCAUCCAUGGAAAAUUAAAUAAAAAAAGGACUAAAUUGGAAAUUGAAAUAAUUAAAGAUGAUAAUAGUCUAAUAUCAUCUUAUUUCAUCAUCUUCCCCAAAUUUAAAUACAUGGAAACCCUAGCUAAGAGAAAAGAACUAAAGCAAGCUUAUUUGACUUAAUUAGGUAAGCAAUCUUGUCCCACUUUUUAGUAAUUUUUAUAUUUCUGAGAUCGGAAUAACCUAAUCUAGUUAUUUUGGGGAUUAAUUUGCAAAGUUAUCAAAGUAUUAAAAAUUUUCCAUGGAUGAGUAUGCUGGAAUUUUGAAGUUUAUGGUAGAAAAUGAAACGUUGUUGGUAGAUAAACAACUUUUGUAAAGGAAAUUUUCAUGAAAUUGUGAUUUAGGGACUAAAAUGAAAAGACGUAAAAUUCAUGGAAAAAUUAUAAUUUUUGUGAAAUACAUGGACUGUUAUUGUCAUGUGAAAAAUUCGGCUAGGCUUGGAAUAAGGAUUAAAUUGCAUGAAUUUCAUUUUCUGAGCCUAGGGACGAAAUCAGAAUUAAUUAAAAGUAUAAGGAAAAAUGGUACUUUUACCUAAAAUGUGAAUUGGUCUGAAUUGAAUAUGAUUUGUAUUAAAUUAAGUUAAAUUUACUCGUAUAGAUUUGGAUAGAUCUAGUACAGAAUUGGAUCGAGGAAAACAAAAAGUAACAGAUUAGUAGCAUACAAGUUCACGACCAUUGUCGAGGUAAGUUCGUGUAAUUAAAUUGUAUAUAUUUAUAUGUUUGAAUUGAAUAUUGUAUAUGCGAAUUGUAUAAAUAUCAUAUAUAUAUGAACUUGAUCACAUGUCUGAUAAUGUCCGAUAAAUAUUAAGUCUCGUUGGAAUAAACGAAAUUCGAUUGGAUACAGGGUUCCCGAUUGGUUGUGGUCUUGCAUAUGUUGCGGACACACCAUAGCUCGAAAGAGCAUCUCAUUAUUAGCUCUCUUGAGCUUCUCGUUAUAUGGUUCUUGCGAGCUUCCCGUUAACAGCUCUUUAGAGCAUCCCAAUUUGGUUGUGAUUCUGCAUAUGUUGUAGACACGCCAUAGCUCUUAUGUGCAUCCCGAUAUAUGGCUCUUUGUGAGCUUCUCGAUUAAAGGCUCUUUGUGGGCUUCCUGAUUAAUGGUUCUCUAGAGCUUCCCAUUAUGACUCGCUUGAACUUCCCGAUAUAUGGCUAUCCAGAGCUUCCCGUUAAUGGCUCUUCGGAGCUACCCAUUAUUGGCUCGCUUGAGCUUCCAAUUAUGGCUCUUAUGAGCUUCCUGUUAUAUGGCUCGAGAGAGGGCUCCCCGAUUUUGUGCUAUAACGAGCACUCCCGAAUAUGAAUUGACGAAUUACAAUUUGUACACUUCAAGUGUACUAUUUGUGUAUCCAUCAAUAUUUCUAAUAAAUUCAAUGGCUAAAGUUCUGACAUGGAAUAAUUUGAAUUUCAAAUGAAUUAUUAUGAAAAUUUUACAUGAUGAACUCAUAUUUGAAUAUUGAUAUUCGCAUGAAAUACGUGACUAACAUGUUUCUAGAGAUUAUAUGUGUUUAGGCAAAUUGCCAAACUCCUUUGGAUGAAUUUUUGCAUGUUUGUUUUAUAUGUAAAUGAAUGGUAAGUUAAUUUCCCAUUAUACGAACUUACGAAGCAUUAUAUGCUUACUUUGUUUUAUUCCCUCUGUUUUAUAGUACUUAGAAGCUCGUAAAGGUUGGA
rnacentral:lncRNA from 1 species